AGUGAACGCUGGCGGUAGGCCUAACACAUGCAAGUCGAACGGCAGCACAGGAGAGCUUGCUCUCUGGGUGGCGAGUGGCGGACGGGUGAGGAAUACAUCGGAAUCUACUCUGUCGUGGGGGAUAACGUAGGGAAACUUACGCUAAUACCGCAUACGACCUACGGGUGAAAGCAGGGGACCUUCGGGCCUUGCGCGAUUGAAUGAGCCGAUGUCGGAUUAGCUAGUUGGCGGGGUAAAGGCCCACCAAGGCGACGAUCCGUAGCUGGUCUGAAAAGAUGAUCAGCCACACUGGGACUGAGACACGGUCCAGACUACUACGGUAGGCAGCAGUGGGGAAUAUUGGACAAUGGGCGCAAGCCUGAGCCAGCCGUACCGCGUGGGUGAAGAGGGCCUUCGGGUUGUAAAGCCCUUUUGUUGGGAAAGAAAUCCAGCUGGCUAAUACCCGGUUGGGAUGACGGUACCCAAAGAAUAAGCACCGGCUAACUUCGUGCCAGCAGCCGCAGUAA
rnacentral:rRNA from 1 species